rnacentral:rRNA from 1 species
GACAGAGGGUGCAAACGUUGUUCGGAAUUACUGGGCGUAAAGCGCGUGUAGGCGGCCCUGCAAGUCGGGUGUGAAAUCCCACGGCUCAACCGUGGAAGUGCACUCGAAACUGCAAGGCUAGAGUCCUGGAGAGGAAGGUGGAAUGCUUGGUGUAGAGGUGAAAUUCGUAGAUAUCAAGCGGAACACCGGUGGCGAAGGCGGCCUUCUGGACAGUGACUGACGCUGAGACGCGAAAGCGUGGGGAGCAAACGGG